GUGCCAGAAGCCUCGGUAAUACGGAGGGGGCUAGCGUUGUUCGGAUUUACUGGGCGUAAAGCGCACGUAGGCGGAUCGAUCAGUCAGGGGUGAAAGGCCUGGGCUCAACCCGGGAACUGCCUUUGAUACUGUCGAUCUUGAAUCCGGGAGAGGUAAGCGGAAUUCCAAGUGUAGAGGUGAAAUUCGUAGAUAUUUGGAAGAACACCAGUGGCGAAGGCGGCUUACUGGACCGGUAUUGACGCUGAUGUGCGAAAGCGUGGGGAGCGAACAGGAUUAGAUACCCUGGUAGUCCACGCCGUAAACGAUGAGUGCUAGUUGUCGGGGGUUCGGCCUUCGGUGACGCAGCUAACGCGUUAAGCACUCCGCCUGGGGAGUACGGCCGCAAGGUUAAAACUCAAAGAAAUUGACGG
rnacentral:rRNA from 1 species